rfam:Zootermopsis nevadensis contig34106, whole genome shotgun sequence.
GCCAAGUGAAAGACAUGGGUAGUGAGAUGUUAGUUUUGGAUCUUGCAUCUCACUACCUUGUCUUUCAUGCGGCU